rnacentral:rRNA from 1 species
GACGAACGCUGGCGGCGUGCCUAAUACAUGCAAGUUGAGCGCUGAAGGCUGGUACUUGUACCAACUGGAUGAGCAGCGAACGGGUGAGUAACGCGUGGGGAAUCUGCCUUUGAGCGGGGGACAACAUUUGGAAACGAAUGCUAAUACCGCAUAAAAACUUUAAACACAAGUUUUAAGUUUGAAAGAUGCAAUUGCAUCACUCAAAGAUGAUCCCGCGUUGUAUUAGCUAGUUGGUGAGGUAAAGGCUCACCAAGGCGAUGAUACAUAGCCGACCUGAGAGGGUGAUCGGCCACAUUGGGACUGAGACACGGCCCAAACUCCUACGGGAGGCAGCAGUAGGGAAUCUUCGGCAAUGGACGAAAGUCUGACCGAGCAACGCCGCGUGAGGGAAGAAGGUUUUCGGAUCGUAAAACUCGGUUGGUAGAGAAGAACGUUGGUGAGAGUGGAAAGCUCAUCAAGUGACGGUAACUACCCAGAAAGGGACGGCUAACUACGUG